GCUACGAUGGCCGAGUGGUUAAGGCGUUGGACUCGAAAUCCAAUGGGAUAUUCCAGCGCAGGUUCGAAUCCUGUUCGCAGCG
rnacentral:tRNA from 1 species